AUUGAACGCUGGCGGCAGGCCUUACACAUGCAAGUCGAGCGAGCGGCGGACGGGGGAGUAAUGUAUGGGGACUGCCCGUUACAGGGGGAUAACUAAUGGAAACGGUAGCUAAUACCGCACACAACAGGCUACCCCAUAUGGGAUUAGCUAGUAGGUGAGGUAAUGGCUCACCUAGGCGACGAUCCCUAGCUGUUCUGAGAGGAUGAUCAGCCACACUGGGACUGAGACACGGCCCAGACUCCUACGGAGGCAGCAGUGGGGAAUAGUGCACAAUGGGCGCAAGCCUGACGCAGCGAUGCCGCGUGUAUGAAGAAGGCACUCGGGUUGUAAAGUACUUUCAGUCGGGAGGCGUUACCGACAGAAGAAGCAACGGCUAACUCCGUGCCAGCAGCCGCGGUAAUUC
rnacentral:rRNA from 1 species